GAUGAACGCUGGCGGCGUGCCUAAUACAUGCAAGUCGAGCGAACGGAGGAGAAGCUUGCUUCUCUGAUGUUAGCGGCGGACGGGUGAGUAACACGUGGAUAACCUACCUAUAAGACUGGGAUAACUUCGGGAAACCGGAGCUAAUACCGGAUGAUAUUUUGAACCGCAUGGUUCAAAAGUGAAAGACGGUCUUGCUGUCACUUAUAGAUGGAUCCGCGCUGCAUUAGCUAGUUGGUAAGGUAACGGCUUACCAAGGCAACGAUGCAUAGCCGACCUGAGAGGGUGAUCGGCCACACUGGAACUGAGACACGGUCCAGACUCCUACGGGAGGCAGCAGUAGGGAAUCUUCCGCAAUGGGCGAAAGCCUGACGGAGCAACGCCGCGUGAGUGAUGAAGGUCUUCGGAUCGUAAAACUCUGUUAUUAGGGAAGAACAUAUGUGUAAGUAACUGUGCACAUCUUGACGGUACCUAAUCAGAAAGCCACGGCUAACUACGUG
rnacentral:rRNA from 1 species